AAGGAAUUAACUCAAUGGAAGAGUAACCGUCCUACACACGGGUAGUUAUCAGUUCGAAUCUGAUAUUCCUUA
rnacentral:tRNA from 1 species